GAUGAACGCUAGCGGUGUGCCUAAUGCAUGCAAGUCGAACGGGAUCUUUUGGAUUCGUCUGAAGGUGAGAGUGGCGAACGGGUGAGUAACACGUAGGUGACCUGCCCCGGAGAGGGGGACAACCACUGGAAACGGUGGCUAAUACCCCAGAUGUUAUUGCGCUUAGAAAGCAAUUACUAAAGUUCCGGCGCUCCGGGAGGGGCCUGCGGCCCAUCAGCUUGUUGGUAAGGUAAUGGCUUACCAAGGCUAAGACGGGUAGGGGGCGUGAGAGCGUGACCCCCCACACUGGUACUGAGACACGGACCAGAUACCUGCGGGUAGCAGCAGCAAGGAAUAUUGCCCAAUGGACGAAAGUCUGAGGCAGCAACACCGCGUGGAGGAUGAAGGCCUUCGGUGUAACUCCUUUCUGGGGAGAGAAGGACGGUACCCACGGAAUAAGUACUCGGCUAACUACGUGCCAGCAGCCGCGGU
rnacentral:rRNA from 1 species